CCUACGGGUGGCAGCAGUGAGGAAUAUUGGUCAAUGGACGAGAGUCUGAACCAGCCAAGUAGCGUGAAGGAUGACUGCCCUAUGGGUUGUAAACUUCUUUUAUAUGGGAAUAAAAUGUUCCACGUGUGGGUUUUUGUAUGUACCAUAUGAAUAGGGAUCGGCUAACUCCGUGCCAGCAGCCGCGGUAAUACGGAGGAUCCGAGCGUUAUCCGGAUUUAUUGGGUUUAAAGGGUGCGUAGGGGGAUUGUUAAGUCAGUUGUGAAAGUUUGCGGCUCAACCGUAGAAUUGCAGUUGAAACUGGCAGUCUUGAGUACAGGAGAGGUGGGCGGAAUUCGUGGUGUAGCGGUGAAAUGCAUAGAUAUCACGCAGAACUCCGAUUGCGAAGGCAGCAUACCGGCGCUCAACUGACGCUCAUGCACGAAAGUGUGGGUAUCGAACAGGAUUAGAUACCCGAGUAGUC
rnacentral:rRNA from 1 species